rnacentral:rRNA from 1 species
AGCCUGAUGCAGCAACGCCGCGUGAGGGACGACGGCCUCAGGGUUGUAAACCUCUUUUAGCAGGGAAGAAGCGAAAGUGACGGUACCUGCAGAAAAAGCACCGGCUAACUACGUGCCAGCAGCCGCGGUAAUACGUAGGGUGCAAGCGUUGUCCGGAAUUAUUGGGCGUAAAGAGCUCGUAGGCGGUUUGUCGCGUCUGCUGUGAAAUCCCGAGGCUCAACCUCGGGCCUGCAGUGGGUACGGGCAGACUAGAGUGCGGUAGGGGAGAUUGGAAUUCCUGGUGUAGCGGUGGAAUGCGCAGAUAUCAGGAGGAACACCGAUGGCGAAGGCAGAUCUCUGGGCCGUAACUGACGCUGAGGAGCGAAAGCGUGGGGAGCGAACAGGAUUAGAUACCCUGGUAGUCCACGCCGUAAACGUUGGGAACUAGAUGUGGGGACCAUUCCACGGUCUCCGUGUCGCAGCUAACGCAUUAAGUUCCCCGCCUGGGGAGUACGGCCGCAAGGCUAAAACUCAAAGGAAUUGACGGGGGCCCGCACAAGCGGCGGAGCAUGCGGAUUAAUUCGAUGCAACGCGAAGAACCUUACCAAGGCUUGACAUAUACGAGAACGGGCCAGAAAUGGUCAACUCUUUGGACA